UACGUAGGGGGCAAGCGUUGUCCGGAUUUAUUGGGCGUAAAGAGCGUGUAGGCGGUCUGGUAGGUCCGUUGUGAAAACUCGAGGCUCAACCUCGAGACGCCGAUGGAAACCAUCAGACUAGAGUCCGGAAGAGGAGAGUGGAAUUCCUGGUGUAGCGGUGAAAUGCGCAGAUAUCAGGAAGAACACCCGUGGCUAAGGCGGUUCUCUAGUACGGUACUGACGCUGAGACGCGAAAGCGUGGGGAGCGAACAGG
rnacentral:rRNA from 1 species